UCUGAUCUUAGUUUUAAACAUGGAUGUCUACUAUGGAGCCGUGAUGUAUACUAUGCAAAUCAAACCAAAUAGAUUCAACACCAGAACAACCACACAUCAAGAAGCCCUAUCCAUCCUAGACAAAAGAGAACAAUCGAUGAAGGAAAAUACUCUCUCCUCCAGGAGCUUCACAAGAUCCGAAUUCUCUUGCAUUUACACACACAUAGAUUCAAGAAAAAAAGAGCAGCGCUAGCGACCGCGACACAUCAUACUCAUAACCAAGAAAGAGACGGCGGUGGAGUCGGGUCAGCAAAUCUUGCCUUGACCAACCACGCGAUCCCAUCCACGCCGUCCGCGUACCUCAACCCGUCCUGCCGCCACCACCGGCCGCCUUAGGUUGGUGAUGUCGCAGAGCGUCUUCCUCCUCACCGAGGUGGCGCUGGCAGCGCCGAGUUUCCGCACAGCGUCCAUGUCCGAUGCGUUCCUGGUCUGCAUCACCGCCGUCUGUGGUGAAUCGAUCCGGCGGUCAUAAACGGCGGGCGCACGCGAUGCCUCCAGAUAUGCGGGUAGUCUAAAUAAGGCACGUACACAAACCAAAUUGUAAACGUCAGAAAUUCAUUUUUUUCAUUGAUACAUGUUAAUUCUAAAGGGAAUAAAAAAUGUAAAACUAUAAAAUAUAAGCACUGUCAUCAUCAGAUAGCUUAAUUCAUAAAUCCUGGCACCUCCACCAAGCAGCCAUUUCACAUCUUCAGUACAAUAAAAAGAAUGUUUAUUUGAAAUGAUUGACAUGUUCUUGAUGAUUAUUUAAAUCACAUAGUUUGCUCUGUCGUCAAUCAACAUAAACAGUGAAAGAAAAUUAGAACACAGCACCUUUUUAUGUAGAAGAGGCGAGCAGACUACUGAAAAACAUGGCAUAUAUUUCUGCAUAUGAUUGAAUGUGAAGUGGAGUACUGGCUGACCUUGCAAAGACUCCUUUUCUCGAGGGAGUUAAGACAUACAUAUUAGAGGCAAGUAGAGAGCGGCCGUACUUGUCGUCGGCUUCCACGCAGCCACACCAUAAGCACGAAGCUGAGAGGCCAUAAACAUGCAGAGGCUACUUUUCAAAGAUUACACUGAUUACUCUCAAGGAAGAAAAUAUGUAAUUCAUAGAAGUAUAUCGACAUAGCAAAAUCUUUUGAUCUCCAUGAUUCCACUGAGAUUGGUUUGCCUGGGGCUGGGGACCCAUCCAGGACUAUAGGAUAGCAAAAUCAACGAAUCUAACAAAUUGCAAGGCAAUGGGAAAUUUUGUGGCAAUGAAGGACCAGGAGGAGGGAACCUGUGAUAGCAGGGUUGAUUCAGUUAGGGGUGAUGAAUCCCGAGCUCUCCGGCACCAAAGAGUCCCUCUGUUGCCACCAUCCUAUGAAAUUACUCUCAGUUAGAUCGAGAUAGUCAGGGAUUCUCAAGCCUGUGCAAAAUUUCUAAUCCCUCACACGUCUGUAGAUAAGCUAUUCUACAAUCGACUAUUGGAUCGAAAGAUCCUGCAACUUUUUACAUACUCGCACGGGGAAAUCACAAGCGCCAACGACCCCAAGAGGUGCGCCUGGGUGAGAGGGGCGUAUGAGGAGGUGGAUGCCCCGUAGGCAACGCGGACGGUGUCGGAGGAAACAGUCAGAGGUGCAGGCGCCGCGCCGGCGUCCAUGGCGACACCGCACACCAGCAGUCCGAGCGGCUAGGGUUAGUCGCGGAUGAUGUUGAGGACCUGCAGGUCGAGUUAGCGCAAUGGAGAUGGUAGAGAGCACAUGAAGGUGCUGGAUGGCCGCCGGGACCGCCGGAGUGGGCUGGAAUCGGCUGGUAGCUGCUCCCCUUCUCCAGAUCGAGGCCAUGCUCCUGGCGCCGUGAGGAAGAGAGGAAAAUGAGAUGAGGCGGGGAGGCGGAGCAGCUCUUCAAAAUCUGUAUGAACAUGUUCUAUGCUCGACCAAUCCAAAAGGAAUAUCGUUUCUAUGGCUACAGUGACCAUGCCUACAAGGCUACAAUCAGUAAGCAGCAACCAUUGUUUGGUAGUCUACACAAUCACUGUUAGACCCCCUAGCUAGGAAGCAGGAAGCACCACAUGUGCACACAGAACACCCAAAGAACUAACCCAAACAGGUAGUGCAGUGCACUGAAAAAUGAUGACACUACACAAGCAUGCCCACGAGAGAAAGCAUACGAACAUCUUCUCCAAUAAGCAAGGAGGAAGCGUGUAGUUUUGAGAUAAACUUAGAAACUAAGCAUUUGAGAUCAGCAAUAACAUAAACAAAAUUCAUAAUCUAAUUAACUGGUCUGCAAGAGAAUCACCUAUGAUCUUUGUAAAUUGAUGAAUUAGGGAGGGCUUCCAUGUUUAGCUAUGCUUUGAUGUAUUGUUCGGCAAUGCUCAGGCUAGCAGCCUACAAAUUAGAGGCAUCAUAUAUGUUUUGCUAGGCAAAAGGGAAAAACACAAUCAAAAUCUUAUUUGAACGGACAACUCUUGCACUGAGAUUUUACAAGAGUGAUACCUUGGUGUUGCGUUCAGAUUUAAACGACUCGGAGACCUGAUGCCUACAUUGAAAAACAAACCAAGUCCGUCAGCUUGGGAGAGGGCUGCUUUCCAUGAGAAGCAAUUAUAAAAUUCUAUGACAAGAGAUUGUAAGCAUCUAAAAUCAAGCCAAACUAUCUAAUUAGAAGGCAUAGAAGGACUACACACUAAUCUUUGUAAUAUAAGCAUAAGCAUGCUCAUCUCCCCAACCAGGACGACGACGACGACUCCAACCAAGCAUGUCCAGCUCUCUAAGGAGCCAUGGGUGACAAAUAUAUGAUUGUACACUAACUCAAAUGAUUAGCAAUAAAUAAAAUAUCACAACUAAGGUGGAAAUACGAAGAGAGACAACCCGAGAAAUUUUUUCAGGUGCAGCACACACUCCUGAAACCAGACAGAACAUGCCGUGCAACCCCCACCACCACCUUCAGAAAAUCCAUAAUAAUC
rnacentral:lncRNA from 1 species